AGAGUUUGAUCCUGGCUCAGGAUGAACGCCGGCGGUGUGCCUAAUACAUGCAAGUCGUACGCGUUGGCCCAACUGAUUUGAAGUGCUUGCACGGAUCUGACGUUGGUUUACCAACGAGUGGCGGACGGGUGAGUAACACGUAGGUAACCUGCCCAGAAGCGGGGGACAACACUUGGAAACAGGUGCUAAUACCGCAUAACAAUUCAAAUCGCAUGAUUUGAAUUUGAAAGAUGGUUUCGGCUAUCACUUCUGGAUGGACCUGCGGCGCAUUAGCUUGUUGGUGGGGUAAUGGCCUACCAAGGCAGUGAUGCGUAGCCGAGUUGAGAGACUGAUCGGCCACAAUGGGACUGAGAUACGGCCCAUACUCCUACGGGAGGCAGCAGUAGGGAAUCUUCCACAAUGGGCGCAAGCCUGAUGGAGCAACACCGCGUGAGUGAAGAAGGUUUUCGGAUCGUAAAGCUCUGUUGUUGAAGAAGAACGUGCAUGAGAGUAACUGUUCAUGCAGUGACGGUAUUCAACCAGAAAGUCACGGCUAACUACGUGCCAGCAGCCGCGGUAAUACGUAGGUGGCAAGCGUUAUCCGGAUUUAUUGGGCGUAAAGAGAGUGCAGGCGGUUUCUUAAGUCUGAUGUGAAAGCCUUCGGCUCAACCGAAGAAGUGCAUCGGAAACUGGGAAACUUGAGUACAGAAGAGGGCAGUGGAACUCCAUGUGUAGCGGUGGAAUGCGUAGAUAUAUGGAAGAACACCAGUGGCGAAGGCGGCUGCCUGGUCUGUAACUGACGCUGAGACUCGAAAGCAUGGGUGGCGAACAGGAUUAGAUACCCUGGUAGUCCAUGCCGUAAACGAUGAGUGCGAGGUGUUGGAGGGUUUCCGCCCUUCAGUGCCGGAGCUAACGCAUUAAGCACCCCGCCUGGGGAGUACGACCGCAAGGUUGAAACUCAAAGGAAUUGACGGGGGCCCGCACAAGCGGUGGAGCAUGUGGUUUAAUUCGAAGCUACGCGAAGAACCUUACCAGGUCUUGACAUCUUGUGCCAACCCUAGAGAUAGGGCGUUUCCUUCGGGAACGCAAUGACAGGUGGUGCAUGGUCGUCGUCAGCUCGUGUCGCGAGAUGUUGGGUUAAGUCCCGCAACGAGCGCAACCCUUGUUACUAGUUGCCAGCAUUAAGUUGGGCACUCUAGUGAGACUGCCGGUGACAAACCGGAGGAAGGUGGGGACGACGUCAGAUCAUCAUGCCCCUUAUGACCUGGGCUACACACGUGCUACAAUGGACGGUACAACGAGCAGCGAACUCGCGAGGGCAAGCAAAUCUCUUAAAACCGUUCUCAGUUCGGAUUGCAGGCUGCAACUCGCCUGCAUGAAGUCGGAAUCGCUAGUAAUCGCGGAUCAGCAUGCCGCGGUGAAUACGUUCCCGGGCCUUGUACUCACCGCCCGUCA
rnacentral:rRNA from 1 species